GGGUUACUGACCUUAGCCAAACUCCGAAUGCCGGUAAGUGAGAGCGCGGCAGUGAGACUGUGGGGGAUAAGCUCCAUGGUCGAGAGGGAAACAGCCCAGAGCAUCGACUAAGGCCCCUAAGCGUACGCUAAGUGGGAAAGGAUGUGGAGUNNGAAGCAGCCACCCUUGAAAGAGUGCGUAAUAGCUCACUGGUCAAGUGAUUCCGCGCCGACAAUGUAGCGGGGCUCAAGCGUACCGCCGAAGUCGUGUCAUUUCAGCAUGAGGGCCAACGCCCGCUGGGAUGGGUAGGGG
rnacentral:rRNA from 1 species